rfam:Trichobilharzia regenti genome assembly, scaffold: TRE_contig0005644
GUGCUGAUGAAGAGUCGCAAACUAGGACGAAACGGCUGUCCAGUAC